CAGUAGCCGCGGGAAUACGUAGGUCCCGAGCGUUGUCCGGAUUUAUUGGGCGUAAAGCGAGCGCAGGCGGUUAGAUAAGUCUGAAGUUAAAGGCUGUGGCUUAACCAUAGUACGCUUUGGAAACUGUUUAACUUGAGUGCAAGAGGGGAGAGUGGAAUUCCAUGUGUAGCGGUGAAAUGCGUAGAUAUAUGGAGGAACACCGGUGGCGAAAGCGGCUCUCUGGCUUGUAACUGACGCUGAGGCUCGAAAGCGUGGGGAGCAAACAGGAUUAGAUACCCCGGUAGUCCCUGUCUCUUAUACC
rnacentral:rRNA from 1 species